CAUUCUUUCAGUGCACCAUUCAGAGACUCGUAUAAAAAGAGCAGUUUCGAAGAGCAAAUGCAAAGCGUUUUGUUUUCACUGUUCUGUUCGAAGAAGGAGUU